AUUGAACGCUGGCGGCAGGCCUAACACAUGCAAGUCGAGCGGAUGAAGGGAGCUUGCUCCUGGAUUCAGCGGCGGACGGGUGAGUAAUGCCUAGGAAUCUGCCUGGUAGUGGGGGAUAACGUCCGGAAACGGGCGGUAAUACCGCAUACGUCCUGAGGGAGAAAGUGGGGGAUCUUCGGACCUCACGCUAUCAGAUAAGCCUAGGUCGGAUUAGCUAGUUGGUGGGGUAAAGGCCUACCAAGGCGACGAUCCGUAACUGGUCUGAGAGGAUGAUCAGUCACACUGGAACUGAGACACGGUCCAGACUCCUACGGGAGGCAGCAGUGGGGAAUAUUGGACAAUGGGCGAAAGCCUGAUCCAGCCAUGCCGCGUGUGUGAAGAAGGUCUUCGGAUUGUAAAGCACUUUAAGUUGGGAGGAAGGGCAGUAAGUUAAUACCUUGCUGUUUUGACGUUACCAACAGAAUAAGCACCGGCUAACUUCGUG
rnacentral:rRNA from 1 species